rnacentral:rRNA from 1 species
UUUAUGGAGAGUUUGAUCCUGGCUCAGAGUGAACGCUGGCGGCGUGCCUAAUACAUGCAAGUCGAACGAUGAAGCUUCUAGCUUGCUAGAGUGCUGAUUAGUGGCGCACGGGUGAGUAACGCAUAGGUCAUGUGCCUCUUAGUUUGGGAUAGCCAUUGGAAACGAUGAUUAAUACCAGAUACUCCCUACGGGGGAAAGAUUUAUCGCUAAGAGAUCAGCCUAUGUCCUAUCAGCUUGUUGGUAAGGUAAUGGCUUACCAAGGCUAUGACGGGUAUCCGGCCUGAGAGGGUGAACGGACACACUGGAACUGAGACACGGUCCAGACUCCUACGGGAGGCAGCAGUAGGGAAUAUUGCUCAAUGGGGGAAACCCUGAAGCAGCAACGCCGCGUGGAGGAUGAAGGUUUUAGGAUUGUAAACUCCUUUUGUUAGAGAAGAUAAUGACGGUAUCUAACGAAUAAGCACCGGCUAACUCCGUGCCAGCAGCCGCGGUAAUACGGAGGGUGCAAGCGUUACUCGGAAUCACUGGGCGUAAAGAGCGCGUAGGCGGGAUAGUCAGUCAGGUGUGAAAUCCUAUGGCUUAACCAUAGAACUGCAUUUGAAACUACUAUUCUAGAGUGUGGGAGAGGUAGGUGGAAUUCUUGGUGUAGGGGUAAAAUCCGUAGAGAUCAAGAGGAAUACUCAUUGCGAAGGCGACCUGCUGGAACAUUACUGACGCUGAUUGCGCGAAAGCGUGGGGAGCAAACAGGAUUAGAUACCCUGGUAGUCCACGCCCUAAACGAUGGAUGCUAGUUGUUGGAGGGCUUAGUCUCUCCAGUAAUGCAGCUAACGCAUUAAGCAUCCCGCCUGGGGAGUACGGUCGCAAGAUUAAAACUCAAAGGAAUAGACGGGGACCCGCACAAGCGGUGGAGCAUGUGGUUUAAUUCGAAGAUACACGAAGAACCUUACCUAGGCUUGACAUUGAGAGAAUCCGCUAGAAAUAGUGGAGUGUCUGGCUUGCCAGACCUUGAAAACAGGUGCUGCACGGCUGUCGUCAGCUCGUGUCGUGAGAUGUUGGGUUAAGUCCCGCAACGAGCGCAACCCCCUUUCUUAGUUGCUAACAGGUAAUGCUGAGAACUCUAAGGAUACUGCCUCCGUAAGGAGGAGGAAGGUGGGGACGACGUCAAGUCAUCAUGGCCCUUACGCCUAGGGCUACACACGUGCUACAAUGGGGUGCACAAAGAGAAGCAAUACUGCGAAGUGGAGCCAAUCUUCAAAACGCCUCUCAGUUCGGAUUGUAGGCUGCAACUCGCCUGCAUGAAGCUGGAAUCGCUAGUAAUCGCAAAUCAGCCAUGUUGCGGUGAAUACGUUCCCGGGUCUUGUACUCACCGCCCGUCACACCAUGGGAGUUGUGUUUGCCUUAAGUCAGGAUGCUAAAUUGGCUACUGCCCACGGCACACACAGCGACUGGGGUGAAGUCGUAACAAGGUAACCGUAGGUGAACCUGCGGUUGGAUCACCUCCUUU